GACCGGUUAGCUCAGUUGGUUAGAGCAUGGUGCUAAUAACGCCAGGGCCACGGGUUUGAUCCCCGAACGGGCCA